GUCAACGGUUGCCGUUAUUUUUAUCACUCCUCCUCUCAUCUAGAUAAAACAAGAUAAGAGUAUGCUGCUAUUUAAGAAAAUAAAUAUGACACAUUUAUGAGGUAUAAAGUGUGCUAGUUGUACACAAGGUUGCCGUCUUAACUCAAGCCUGUUUAUGAUCGCUAAAGGAGCAGAUGAUUGUAGUCUCCUAGUUGGAUGCCAGUUAACCGAACAUUCAAUUAAUGACGCAAAAAUAAUAGUUAAAUAACAAAUAAACACUUAUAUUAAAGGUUUUACAAUGAGUAUCUUAAAUUUAAGUUUAAGGAGUAACAAGAGCUCUUAAAUACUAAUAGCUGGCGAAGCGGUAUAAGACAGAAAUUUAAAAUUAAUUAAAAACUUGACUGUAUAUAAUCAUUGGUGAUCAAACUAUAUGAGAUAUUGUGAUAAUACUUGAUGAUAACUGACUUUGGCUUCACAAUAUAUGACAAAAAUCGACUACGGAAGUAAAGUUCAUCAAUGAUGAUCAGGGCUCAAUUACUGAAGGUGUACAAGAGAACGGGAGCUUUGAUCACAAGAGAGCAACAAACAAAUAAUAAAAUAUGGCCAUACAGUAGCAGAAACGAGCAUAGGCGUUUGCAUACCAAAAGAAAGAUUAUUGUUUUUAGUAUUCUUAAAAUUGUAUAAAGAUAAAAUUGUUUUAAAAAGUUAUUGUAAUUAUAAAAUACAGAAAAUUUUUUAGUUUUUCUUAUAAUAAACGA